UACGUAGGGUCCAAGCGUUGUUCGGAAUUACUGGGCGUAAAGCGCGCGUAGGCGGGCUUGUAAGUUGAUUGUGAAAGCCCCGGGCUUAACCCGGGAAUGGCAGUCAAAACUACAAGUCUUGAGUGCCUGAGAGGAUGGCGGAAUUCCCGGUGUAGUAGUGAAAUACGUAGAUAUCGGGAAGAACACCUGAGGCGAAGGCGGCUAUCUGGCGGUGCACUGACGCUGAGGCGCGAAAGCACGGGGAGCAAACAGG
rnacentral:rRNA from 1 species